GGGGAAUUUUGGACAAUGGGGGCAACCCUGAUCCAGCCAUGCCGCGUGAGUGAAGAAGGCCUUCGGGUUGUAAAGCUCUUUCGGACGGAAAGAAAUCGCCGCCUCUAACAUAGGCGGUGGAUGACGGUACCGUAAGAAGAAGCACCGGCUAACUACGUGCCAGCAGCCGCGGUAAUACGUAGGGUGCGAGCGUUAAUCGGAAUUACUGGGCGUAAAGCGUGCGCAGGCGGUUUGGUAAGACAGGUGUGAAAUCCCCGGGCUUAACCUGGGACCUGGGUUGGUGACGGCAAGCCAGGGGAAGGGCGGAGGGGGGGGGAAUCCAAGGGUAGGCGGGAAAUGGCUAGAGAAUGUGAGGAACAACGAAUGCGGAAGCAGGCCCCUGGGCCUGUACUGACGCUCAUGCACGAAAGCGUGGGGAGCAAACA
rnacentral:rRNA from 1 species